UAGGGAAUCUUCCACAAUGGACGCAAGUCUGAUGGAGCAACGCCGCGUGAGUGAAGAAGGUUUUCGGAUCGUAAAGCUCUGUUGUUGGUGAAGAAGGAUAGAGGUAGUAACUGGCCUUUAUUUGACGGUAAUCAACCAGAAAGUCACGGCUAACUACGUGCCAGCAGCCGCGGUAAUACGUAGGUGGCAAGCGUUGUCCGGAUUUAUUGGGCGUAAAGCGAGCGCAGGCGGAAGAAUAAGUCUGAUGUGAAAGCCCUCGGCUUAACCGAGGAACUGCAUCGGAAACUGUUGUGCUUGAGUGCAGAAGAGGAGAGUGGAAUUCCAUGUGUAGCGGUGGAAUGCGUAGAUAUAUGGAAGAACACCAGGGGCGAAGGCGACUCUCUGGUCUGCAACUGACGCUGAGGCUCGAAAGCAUGGGUAGCGAACAGG
rnacentral:rRNA from 1 species